UAGGGCGGGACACGUGGUAUCCUGUCUGAAUAUGGGGGGACCAUCCUCCAAGGCUAAAUACUCCUGACUGACCGAUAGUGAACCAGUACCGUGAGGGAAAGGCGAAAAGAACCCCGGCGAGGGGAGUGAAAAAGAACCUGAAACCGUGUACGUACAAGCAGUGGGAGCACGCUUCGGCGUGUGACUGCGUACCUUUUGUAUAAUGGGUCAGCGACUUAUAUUCUGUAGCAAGGUUAACCGAAUAGGGGAGCCGAAGGGAAACCGAGUCUUAACUGGGCGUUAAGUUGCAGGGUAUAGACCCGAAACCCGGUGAUCUAGCCAUGGGCAGGUUGAAGGUUGGGUAACACUAACUGGAGGACCGAACCGACUAAUGUUGAAAAAUUAGCGGAUGACUUGUGGCUGGGGGUGAAAGGCCAAUCAAACCGGGAGAUAGCUGGUUCUCCCCGAAAGCUAUUUAGGUAGCGCCUCGUGAACUCAUCUCCGGGGGUAGAGCACUGUUUCGGCAAGGGGGUCAUCCCGACUUACCAACCCGAUGCAAACUGCGAAUACCGGAGAAUGUUAUCACGGGAGACACACGGCGGGUGCUAACGUCCGUCGUGAAGAGGGAAACAACCCAGACCGCCAGCUAAGGUCCCAAAGUCAUGGUUAAGUGGGAAACGAUGUGGGAAGGCCCAGACAGCCAGGAUGUUGGCUUAGAAGCAGCCAUCAUUUAAAGAAAGCGUAAUAGCUCACUGGUCGAGUCGGCCUGCGCGGAAGAUGUAACGGGGCUAAACCAUGCACCGAAGCUGCGGCAGCGACACUAUGUGUUGUUGGGUAGGGGAGCGUUCUGUAAGCCUGUGAAGGUGUGCUGUGAGGCAUGCUGGAGGUAUCAGAAGUGCGAAUGCUGACAUAAGUAACGAUAAAGCGGGUGAAAAGCCCGCUCGCCGGAAGACCAAGGGUUCCUGUCCAACGUUAAUCGGGGCAGGGUGAGUCGACCCCUAAGGCGAGGCCGAAAGGCGUAGUCGAUGGGAAACAGGUUAAUAUUCCUGUACUUGGUGUUACUGCGAAGGGGGGACGGAGAAGGCUAUGUUGGCCGGGCGACGGUUGUCCCGGUUUAAGCGUGUAGGCUGGUUUUCCAGGCAAAUCCGGAAAAUCAAGGCUGAGGCGUGAUGACGAGGCACUACGGUGCUGAAGCAACAAAUGCCCUGCUUCCAGGAAAAGCCUCUAAGCAUCAGGUAACAUCAAAUCGUACCCCAAACCGACACAGGUGGUCAGGUAGAGAAUACCAAGGCGCUUGAGAGAACUCGGGUGAAGGAACUAGGCAAAAUGGUGCCGUAACUUCGGGAGAAGGCACGCUGAUAUGUAGGUGAAGUCCCUUGCGGAUGGAGCUGAAAUCAGUCGAAGAUACCAGCUGGCUGCAACUGUUUAUUAAAAACACAGCACUGUGCAAACACGAAAGUGGACGUAUACGGUGUGACGCCUGCCCGGUGCCGGAAGGUUAAUUGAUGGGGUCAGCGCAAGCGAAGCUCUUGAUCGAAGCCCCGGUAAACGGCGGCCGUAACUAUAACGGUCCUAAGGUAGCGAAAUUCCUUGUCGGGUAAGUUCCGACCUGCACGAAUGGCGUAAUGAUGGCCAGGCUGUCUCCACCCGAGACUCAGUGAAAUUGAACUCGCUGUGAAGAUGCAGUGUACCCGCGGCAAGACGGAAAGACCCCGUGAACCUUUACUAUAGCUUGACACUGAACAUUGAGCCUUGAUGUGUAGGAUAGGUGGGAGGCUUGGAAGUGUGGACGCCAGUCUGCAUGGAGCCGACCUUGAAAUACCACCCUUUAAUGUUUGAUGUUCUAACGUUGACCCGUAAUCCGGGUUGCGGACAGUGUCUGGUGGGUAGUUUGACUGGGGCGGUCUCCUCCUAAAGAGUAACGGAGGAGCACGAAGGUUGGCUAAUCCUGGUCGGACAUCAGGAGGUUAGUGCAAUGGCAUAAGCCAGCUUGACUGCGAGCGUGACGGCGCGAGCAGGUGCGAAAGCAGGUCAUAGUGAUCCGGUGGUUCUGAAUGGAAGGGCCAUCGCUCAACGGAUAAAAGGUACUCCGGGGAUAACAGGCUGAUACCGCCCAAGAGUUCAUAUCGACGGCGGUGUUUGGCACCUCGAUGUCGGCUCAUCACAUCCUGGGGCUGAAGUAGGUCCCAAGGGUAUGGCUGUUCGCCAUUUAAAGUGGUACGCGAGCUGGGUUUAGAACGUCGUGAGACAGUUCGGUCCCUAUCUGCCGUGGGCGCUGGAGAACUGAGGGGGGCUGCUCCUAGUACGAGAGGACCGGAGUGGACGCAUCACUGGUGUUCGGGUUGUCAUGCCAAUGGCACUGCCCGGUAGCUAAAUGCGGAAGAGAUAAGUGCUGAAAGCAUCUAAGCACGAAACUUGCC
rnacentral:rRNA from 1 species